UCCACCAACAGGCGCGCCACACUUCAUCAGGCAGUUUUUCUCAGGGAUUCUGAGAAAAUUCUCAGGGAUUCUGAGAAGAUUCAAAGAGAACUUUGCUGUUUUUUAACACCUCUAGCUGCAGCUCCUUUCACUAAAGCUAUGAAAUGAAGGUGGGUGAGGAAUGCAGAGGAGAGGGAAAAAAUACUAGGAUUCAUUGCCAAGUACUUUCUUUUUGCCCCUCAUUGCCUACCAGCUGAUUUGGAGUGGCACCAGGCUGAGAAGAUGACUGACAGCGUACCUCACACUAACACUUGGUCAGACCUACUGCAGCAUUUUCCUCCUUGAUGGUGUCGAUGGCAUAAAUGGCAUCAGCCUUGAGGUAGAGGACAGCAUCAUCUGCAGCUCUUUGUAGGGACAGAAUAGUAGUGGAGGAGGUGCACAUUCCACCCCUGGUCACAGUGGUGGAAGCCCAGGAAGCGUCAGUGAGAACUGAACGUAGCCAAGAAGGUCGCUGUGCAGAGACACAGAUUGCAGUCUUUAUCUUCCCUGAUUGCUCAGCACUUGAGGCAGCUCCAAAUAAAGACAGAACAGAGGAAAGAAGCUUCUCUUUCUUUGGGUAGUGUUAUCAGAUCUGUAGAUAUUACUGCAGAAAUAUCCCUCUGGGAAAAGGCUGCAUAAGUUCUGGCCACCGUGUAAAUCUCACACUGAAGACUCACUUGGGAAGAAGAAAAGACAAAAAAUGUUGUGCUGGCUCUCUAAGUGAAGCAAAGUGCAUAGGAAUGGAGCUCAAUUUAAGCUGUGCUGUGCAAAGAGGGGAGAAAUCUGGUGAUGGGCCUACAAAUGUCACUGACAAGGAAAAGAAAAGGCUAAAGGCUCUGCUGGAGUGACUCCAUUGACUCCCAUGGCUUUCGUGGGCUUCAAUUUGCAAAACAGACAGAAGAAGAGAAAACCCUUCCUCCACCUCUCUCCCCUGCAAUUCUUGAAAGUGACAUCUGUGCAGUGCUGCAGGAAAGAUUACACAUCUUAGUCUUAUUUUUUUUUACCCUGCCACUCCCAAUUUAUUCAU
rnacentral:lncRNA from 1 species